UACGGAAGGCAGCAGUGGGGAAUAUUGCACAAUGGGCGAAAGCCUGAUGCAGCUAUGCCGCGUGUAUGAAGAAGGCCUUAGGGUUGUAAAGUACUUUCAUCGGGGAGGAAAAAAACAAAAACUAAUAAUUUUAUUUUCUUUGACGUUACCCGAAAAAGAAGCACCGGCUAACUCCGUGCCAGCAGCCGCGGUAAUACGGAGGGUGCUAGCGUUAAUCAGAAUUACUGGGCGUAAAGAGCACGUAGGUGGUUUUUUUAAGUUCAGAUGUGAAAUCUCUGGGCUUAACCUAGGAACUGCAUUUUGAAACUGAAAUACUAGAGUAUCGUAGAGGGAGGUAGAAUUCUAGGUGUAGCGGUGAAAUGCGUAGAUAUCUGGAGGAAUACCUGUGGCGAAAGCGGCCUCCUAAACGAAUACUGACACUGAGGUGCGAAAGCGUGGGGAGCAAACAGGGAUUAGAUACC
rnacentral:rRNA from 1 species